AGCAUAAGACAAAACAGAAGCAAGAGACAAUGAGGUUAAAUGAAGAAGAAGAGAUAAAGAUGAUGGAUGCAGAACAUGAUAAAGCCAAUAUGUCAAGGAGACUGGAAGAGAAGAGUAUGAGUGCUCUGGAAGAAGAGGAGAGGAGGAAAGUAAAGGAGGAAGUUGAGACAGAGAUGGUGAAAGGACAUCCAUCCCCUGCAGAGAAGUUAGAGUCUGAUGAUAAAGUCUUGAGAGUCCCAGAAGAAUGUGAAAAAGAAGGAAAGAAAGGCAGGAAUAAAGGCAAGGAGAUCCUGACGGAGGACAAAGAACCUAUGAUGAAGCCCGAAAAGACAGCACAUGCAAAUUCAGAGAAUAUUCUACUGAAGUCACCUUUACAAGGAGAUCACCUCUCUCCCAUUGUGGAAAAGGUGACGUCAAAACCUUUGC
ensembl:lncRNA